rnacentral:rRNA from 1 species
UGCAGUCGAACGCAUCGCAGAUGAGUGGCAGACGGGUGAGUAACGCGUGGGAACAUACCCAUUUCUACGGAAUAGCUCUGGGAAACUGGAAUUAAUACCGUAUACCCCCUACGGGGGAAAGAUUUAUCGGGGAAGGAUUGGCCCGCGUUGGAUUAGCUAGUUGGUGGGGUAAAGGCCUACCAAGGCGACGAUCCAUAGCUGGUCUGAGAGGAUGAUCAGCCACAUUGGGACUGAGACACGGCCCAAACUCCUACGGGAGGCAGCAGUGGGGAAUAUUGGACAAUGGGCGCAAGCCUGAUCCAGCCAUGCCGCGGAGUGAUGAAGGCCUUAGGGUUGUAAAGCUCUUUCACCGAUAAGAUAAUGACGGUGUCGGAGAAGAAGCCCCGGCUAACUUCGUGCCAGCAGCCGCGGUAAUACGAAGGGGGCUAGCGUUGUUCGGAAUUACUGGGCGUAAAGCGCACGUAGGCGGAUAUUUAAGUCAGGGGUGAAAUCCCAGAGCUCAACUCUGGAACUGCCUUUGAUACUGGGUAUCCUGACGUAUGGAAGAGGUAAGUGGAAUUGCGAGUGCAGAGGUGAAAUUCGUAGAUAUUCGCAGGAACACCAGUGGCGAAGGCGGCUUACUGGUCCAUUACUGACGCUGAGGUGCGAAAGCGUGGGGAGCACACAGGAUUAGAUACCCUGGUAGUCCACGCCGUAAACGAUGAAAGUUAGCCGUCGGGCAGUAUACUCUUCGGUGGCGCAGCUAACGCAUUAAACAUUCCGCCAGGGGGAGUACGGUCGCAGAUUAAAACUCAAAGGGAAUUGACAGGGGGCCCGCACAAGCGGUGGAGCAUGUGGUUUAAUUCGAAGCAACGCGCAGACACCUUACCAGCUCUUGACAUCUCCGGGUAUGGUCAUUGCAGACGAUGACCAUCAAGUUCGGCUGCGCCCCUAGAACAGGUGCUGCAUGGCGUCGUCAGCUCGUGUCGUGAGAUGUUGGGUUAAGUCCCGCAACGAGCGCAACCCUCGCCCUUAGUUGCCAGCAUUGAGUUGGGCACUCUAAGGGGACUGCCGGUGAUAAGCCGAGAGGAAGGUGGGGAUGACGUCAAGUCCUCAUGGCCCUUACGGGCUGGGCUACACACGUGCUACAAUGGUGGUGACAGUGGGCAGCGAGACAGCGAUGUCGAGCUAAUCUCCAAAAGCCAUCUCAGUUCGGAUUGCACUCUGCAACUCGAGUGCAUGAAGUUGGAAUCGCUAGUAAUCGCAGAUCAGCAUGCUGCGGUGAAUACGUUCCCGGGCCUUGUACACACCGCCCGUCACACCAUGGGAGUUGGUUUUACCCGAAGGCGCUGCGCUAACCGCAAGGGGCAGGCG